rnacentral:rRNA from 1 species
CGGGGCUAAUACCGGAUGCUUGAUUGAACCGCAUGGUUCAUUCGUAACAGGCGGCUUCGGCUGCCGUUCCUCCAAGAAGCCGCGGCGCAUUAGCUAGUUGGUGAGGUAACGGCUCACCAAGGCGACGAUGCGUAGCCGACCUGAGAGGGUGAUCGGCCACACUGGGACUGAGACACGGCCCAGACUCCUACGGGAGGCAGCAGUAGGGAAUCUUCCGCAAUGGACGAGAGUCUGACUGAUCAACGCCGCGUGAGUGAUGAGGGUUUUCGGAUCGUAAAGCUCUGUUGUUAGGGAAGAACAAGCACCGUUCGAAUAGGGCGGUACCUU